GUUAAUGUGGCAGAUAAGUGCAAUGAAUUUAAGCUUCAUUAAUAGGGUUAAGCUCUUUUU
rnacentral:tRNA from 1 species